AUGCCGCCGGCCGCCGCGCCGUGGUCGUGGGCGUGCUGCGGCCGCAGGAGGAAGAGCGCCGGGGGCGGCGCGGGGGACGGCGACGGCGCCGGCGCGUCGGGGCGGGACGGUGACCAGUGGACGCUCUUCAUCGACCUGCCCGUGCUGGAGGCCGCCACCGCCGGCUUCUCCGACGGCAACCUCCUCGGCCGCGGCGGCUUCGGCCCCGUCUACAAGGGCGUGAUGGAGGGCGGGCAGGAGAUCGCGGUGAAGCGGCUGUCGCUGGAGUCGCGGCAGGGGGUGCGGGAGUUCCUCAACGAGGUGCGGCUGCUGCUCAAGGUGCAGCACCGCAACCUGGUCUCCCUCCUCGGCUGCUGCGCCGCCGCCGGCCAAAAGAUGCUCGUCUACCCAUACUUCCCCAACGGCAGCCUCGACCACAUCCUCUUCGAUCAGUAUACAGAGCAUAGAAGAGCUGCUCUGUUAUCUGAACCUGCACUGCAUCGCAUACUUUCAGACAGGGAGAAGAGGGUGCAGCUAGACUGGCCAAAACGGUACCAAAUUAUCCUCGGACUAGCGAGGGGCCUCCUGUACCUCCACGAAGAGUCUCCGGUGAAGAUCAUCCACAGGGACAUCAAGGCGAGCAACGUGCUCCUCGACGACAAGCUGAACCCCAAGAUCUCGGAUUUCGGCAUGGCGAGGCUCUUCCUCGAAGACGCGACGCACGUAAACACGUUCAGGAUCUCUGGCACAUAUGGUUAUAUGGCCCCGGAGUACGCGAUGAACGGGUACCUGUCGACCAAGACCGACGUUUUCAGCUUCGGGAUGCUCGUGCUGGAGAUCGUCAGCGGGAGGAAGAACAUCGACCGGCAUCUCGGCGACGAGAAAGUCGACCUGUUGAACUACACAUGGAAGCUGUCAGAGGAAGGCCGGCCACUGGACAUCGUGGACCCGGGCCUGUCCGGCUGGGACGCCGGCGAGGUGGCCAUGUGCGUCCAGCUCGGGCUGCUGUGCUGCCAGGCCGUCGUGUCGGACCGGCCGGACAUGUACAGCGUGCACCUCAUGCUGUCCAGCGACUCCUUCACGCUGCCCAAGCCCGGGAAGCCGGCGGUGCACGGCCGGGUCGGCCGGUGGAAGAGCACCACCGGCUCGGCCUCCAGCUCCGCCUCCGGCGCGAACACGAACACCACGUUCGCCACCGACACGACCAAGGCCUCGACGCUGGGAAACAUCGCUGAAGAUGAAUCCAGGAACUCCAUUUCCAUAUCCUUCACCACUGAAGGCCGGUAA
rnacentral:rRNA from 1 species